rnacentral:ncRNA from 1 species
GUUUUAACACAAAAUAAAUGUCAUUAAUUUGAUAAAGUGCUGAUAGAUUUAUAUGAUUACAGUGCGUUAAUUUUUCGGAAUUAUAUAAUGGCAUAAUUAUCAAUGAUUUUUGUGUUUAUUAUAUGCACUUGUAUGAUUAACAAUGCGAAAGAUUCAGGAUACCUUCGGGACCCGUCUUGAAACACGGACCAAGGAGUCUAACAUAUGUGCAAGUUAUUGGGAUAUAAACCUAAUAGCGUAAUUAACUUGACUAAUAAUGGGAUUAGUUUUUUAACUAUUUAUAGUUAAUUAACACAAUCCCGGGGCGUUCUAUAUAGUUAUGUAUAAUGAUAUUUAUAUUAUUUAUGCCUCUAACUGGAACGUUCCUUGAGCAUAUAUGCUGUGACCCGAAAGAUGGUGAACUAUACUUGAUCAGGUUGAAGUCAGGGGAAACCCUGAUGGAAGACCGAAACAGUUCUGACGUGCAAAUCGAUUGUCAGAAUUGAGUAUAGGGGCGAAAGACCAAUCGAACCAUCUAGUAGCUGGUUCCUUCCGAAGUUUCCCUCAGGAUAGCUGGUGCAUUUUAAUAUUAUAUAAAAUAAUCUUAUCUGGUAAAGCGAAUGAUUAGAGGCCUGCCGAAGCAACUAGCCCUUAAAAUGGAUGGCGCUUAAGUUGUAUACCUAUACAUUACCGCUAAAGUAGAUGAUUUAUAUUACUUGUAAUAUAAAUUUUGAAACUUUAGUGAGUAGGAAGGUACAAUGGUAUGCGUAGAAGUGUUUGGCGUAAGCCUGCAUGGAGCUGCCAUUGGUACAGAUCUUGGUGGUAGUAGCAAAUAAUCGAAUGAGACCUUGGAGGACUGAAGUGGAGAAGGGUUUCGUGUGAACAGUGGUUGAUCACGAGUUAGUCGGUCCUAAGUUCAAGGCGAAAGCCGAAAAUUUUCAAGUAAAAAACUAAUGACUUAAUAAAUAUAUAUACAAGCCAAAAAUAAUAUACUUGAAUAAUUUUGAACGAAAGGGAAUACGGUUCCAAUUCCGUAACCUGUUGAGUAUCCGUUUGUUAUUAAAUAUGGGCCUCGUGCUCAUCCUGGCAACAGGAACGACCAUAAAGAAGCCGU